rnacentral:rRNA from 1 species
UNUGACUUGAGUGCAGAAGGGGAGAGUGGAAUUCCAUGUGUAGCGGUGAAAUGCGUAGAUAUAUGGAGGANCACCAGUGGCGAAAGCGGCUCUCUGGUCUGUCACUGACGCUGAGGCUCGAAAGCGUGGGUAGCGAACAGGAUUAGAUACCCUGGUAGUCCACGCCGUAAACGAUGAGUGCUAGGUGUUAGGCCCUUUCCGGGGCUUAGUGCCGGAGCUAACGCAAUAAGCACUCCGCCUGGGGAGUACGACCGCAAGGUUGAAACUCAAAGGAAUUGACGGGGGCCCGCACAAGCGGUGAAGCAUGUGGUUUAAUUCGAAGCUACGCGAAGAACCUUACCAGGUCUUGACAUCCCGAUGCUAUUCUUAGAGAUAGGAAGUUACUUCGGUACAUCGGAGACAGGUGGUGCAUGGUUGUCGUCAGCUCGUGUCGUGAGAUGUUGGGUUAAGUCCCGCAACGAGCGCAACCCUUAUUGUUAGUUGCCAUCAUUAAGUUGGGCACUCUAGCGAGACUGCCGGUAAUAAACCGGAGGAAGGUGGGGAUGACGUCAAAUCAUCAUGCCCCUUAUGACCUGGGCUACACACGUGCUACAAUGGUCGGUACAACGAGUUGCGAGCCGGUGACGGCAAGCUAAUCUCUGAAAGCCGAUCUCAGUUCGGAUUGGAGGCUGCAACUCGCCUCCAUGAAGUCGGAAUCGCUAGUAAUCGCGGAUCAGCACGCCGCGGUGAAUACGUUCCCGGGCCUUGUACACACCGCCC